UACGUAGGGUGCAAGCGUUAAUCGGAAUUACUGGGCGUAAAGAGUGCGUAGGCGGCUAUGUAAGACAGAUGUGAAAUCCCUGGGCUUAACCUAGGAACUGCAUUUGUGACUGCAUGGCUAGAGUGUGGUAGAGGGAGAUGGAAUUCCGCAUGUAGCAGUGAAAUGCGUAGAUAUGCGGAGGAACACCAAAUGGGCGAAGGCGGCUCUCUGGGACGGUACUGACGCUGAGACGCGAAAAGCGUGGGGGAGCGAACAGG
rnacentral:rRNA from 1 species